rnacentral:tRNA from 1 species
AUUUAAAUAGCUUAAAUUAGAGUUUAAUAUUGAAGAUAUUAAGGUGAUAUUAUUAUAUCUUUAUAUA